rnacentral:lncRNA from 1 species
AGUCUCUGUUUCUCCCAGUCCUGUGGCACUACUGCACACAAGCACCAUUGGCCUUCUAAACCAAAUGCUCUGGGGGCUCCUCCUUUCAAUGCCAGACUCCUAGAUUGGUGAAACUGACGUGGGGCUCAGAACUUAUACCUGUGGGAGAAUCUCUGUGAUACAAUUUUUUCUAGCUUGUGGGUUGUCCACCCCGUGGGUAUAGGCUUUGAUUAUAUCAUGAAAGCAUCCCUCCUACUGUCUCAUUGUGGCUUCUUCUUUGUCUUUGGAUAUAGAAAGUCUUUUUUGGUAGGUUCCAGUCUUUUUUGUCAACAGUUCUUCAGCAGUUAGUUGUAAUUUUUGAUACUUUUGUGAGAGGAAGUAAGCUUAAGUCCUUCUACCCUGCCAUAUUUUCUUUUCCCCUCCUGGCUUCCAAUCUUGAACCUCUUUACAUAUAUCCUUCAUCCAGUAGUCAAAAUAAUAUUUCUAAAACCUAUACUGGGCCAUGUCCCUCUGGCUUUGGCCUUCAGUGGCUUUCCUUGGACUUAGAAUGGAAUCCAGACUCCUGCCACUUGCCCCUUUGCUCACUUGUUCAGCCACAUUGUUUUUCUGUCAGGUCUUUGAGUACCAUGCACAUAGAUCCUUUACCUGAAAUGCUUUUUACUCCUACUCCCUUUCAGUAAGUCUUUCCAUAUUUUUCCCCAUUACAAUAUCUAUUACAGAUUGGAAACAUAUAUUUGUGUGUUUGGUACUUUCUCCCUGCUAGUCUUCUCCUGAAUUUAUCUAUUUUAAACUUUGUAAGGGGCUGAGAUUACAGUUGUUUACCUAGAACCUAGUCCAACACUUGUCACACAGAGACUGUAGGCAAAUAUUUAUUGAAUAAAUUUUAAUUAAAGGAAACGCACCAGUGAGUGAGAUCCGAACUUUCAAGAAAUCAACCCAUUAUAAAGAGUAAGUUACUUAAAUUACAUUGCUUUGUACAGAUAUUAUUCUCUAGUUCUUUUGUGCUUAAGGUUGUAGGCCCAGAGAGUAGAAUAUUUACUGGAAUAUUUACUGAAGUCGUUGCCUUCAGAAAUACUUCUGUGUUCCUUCCAAAAUCUAAUAUGUUAAUUAACAAAUAGAAGAGCACCAUCUAAUAAAUAUGACUGACUGUUGACUGUAUGUGUCACCAAUAGAGUAAGAGAUGCUAAAAUCAUUCUUCAUACAUUCUAGUAAGCAGGUCCCCAAUUGCUCAGCAGUCAAUCUAAAAGCGACCCUUACACACUGAAGUUCCCUUCUUUAACCAGUUUUUUUCAACUUCCUUCCAACAAUGGAAACUUUGGGUGCUCUUAAGAUGCUGCUUGAGGGAGGAGAUGGCCAGUUCCUCUCUCUUUGUAAAGUCAAAGUUAGAAAUCACCAUUAUUUCAUGACGAAUAUGUGCCAGUGCUGAAGUUUUAGAAAUGGCUGGCAAAGCCCCUGCCUGUUAGAAGAAGUCUUGUGUCUGGUGACUUGGUGUCCUAGCUCUACACAUGCUAUAGUUCAGCGCCAUUAUUCAUUAUGUAGGAUUUUGUGGACUUAUUAGAAAUCUAACAGCCUUUCAUGAUAUUGCUUUAAAGAAGGAGUGCAACCAGAGUGACAGAUGAUACACCUCCAUUGAAAAUUUCAAAACUUAGUUCAUCCACAAAAUAAGAUUGAAUUUCACUUUUUUUAUUCUCUGGAGAGAAUCAGAAAAUAAUUUUUUUAGAGUUUCUGGACCCAUUUCUUACUUAGCCAAGAACACAUUUAUAUUUUCUAAAUUUUUUAUAAUGAAUAUAUCCUUUUUUAUAAAGAGAAAAAAUAACUUUAGAAGAAAGGCGAGGGAUUGCAAUGGCAUAAGCAUUAAUAAGUGACAUAAGGAUGCAUCAUGGUAGAGGCGAGGCAGGAAAUGUGCACAUUGCUGGAAAUCACCCACACAUGAUGCUGUCAGUCUUUGGUGGAGCCUCAGCCUGAAGAGAAAUGGAUAGAGCAGAAUUGAAACACAGGCUUUACACUGAUGUGAUCUCUUGAGACUCAGCUUUAACCUUUCCCUUUGGAAAAUAGGUCUAACUCUUGAAAGCAUAUUCUAGUCUCCAUUUGACAGUGCAGAAGAUGGUCAGAGAAGGUGUAUGCAAUCAGGCUUUGGAACAUUCAGAUUGUUGUGUUGAAACUAACCUGGGUCCCCAUUUUUUCUCCUCAUUUCUUUUCUGCCAUUAGGGCUGCUGAAGUACAGAGGCUGCCAUUUUAUACUAAGCUUCUCCUAUUUUCAUCAUUUGCUCUAGUAAUAGUUUUCUUUUUUUUUUUUGCUAUUUCUUUGGGCUGCUCCCGCGGCAUAUGGAGGUUCCCAGGCUAGGGGUCUAAUCGGAGCUACAGUUGCCAGCCUAUGCCACAGCCACAGCAAUGCCAGAUCUGAACCGUGUCUGUGAUCUACACCAUGGCUCACGGCAACACCAGAUCCUCAAACCCAAGGAUUGAACCCGCAACCUUGUGGUUCCUAGUCAGAUUCAUUUCCGCUGAGCCACGACAGGAACUCCACGAAGUAAUUUCUUUUUAGCCCUUGAAUCCCACUGGCAGUGUGAUGUAGCCCUCACCAUUUUGGUUGGGAACUCAGGAGAGCAAGAGGUGGGGGUGGAGAUGUUAGAGGAAAGUGAACAAAGGUCAAAUAGGAGUGAAGUAAAUUUAGUCUAAUUCUAAGCUGGCACUGGAGGCCCUAAGAGAGUUUCUUUUGGGAGGACUAUCAAAAUGGGAUGAUUUUAAAUUAUGGACUAGAGAUGGUGAGGGAACCAGGCAAAGCAGGGUUAUGGUAGAAAGCCUGUGUCAAAAUAAGGGGAAGGUGUUCCCUUAGUGGCUCAGUGGUUAACAAAUCCAACAAUGAUCCAUGGGAUGUGGGUUCAAUCCCUGGCCUCGCUCACUGAAUUAAGUAUCUGGUAUUGCCAUGAGCUGUGGUGUAGACCAGCAGCUAGAGCUCUGAUUCCACCCCUAGCAUGGGAACCUCCAUA